CAAGGGCUUUGGCUGCCUGCGUCUCCUCCUCUUCUUUCUUGUUAAUCUUUUCAUUUUUCUCAAAAUGCUCCAUUUCCCUCUCUCUCUCUCUUUGCCUGAGUUAACACUUUCCUGAGUGCACCUCCCGAUGGCCAUCAGCAAGGAAUAAUAACAGGUGCUCCAUGCUAUCAUCAGCAUUUCCGGUUUAUAGCUGGGGAAGCUGAGACACAGAGAAGGUUGAUCAGUGAUUUUCAACCAUUGUGCCGAGGCACACUGGUGUGCUGUGAGAGGACCUUAGGUAUUCUGUGAAAAGUUUUAAAGAUCAUUAAUUAAAUUAUUUUCAAAAGGAGUUCAAAGCACAGCAAGGCUCUGUUACAUGGUCACACCUAACUGCAAGAAAGAUGAGGUCUGGCUCUGUGCCCAGGAGGUUUGGUUAGAAGCUAGCCAAUCUCAAGAAACAGGCUUUGGAACCACAAAGAUUUGCAUUCAGCUAUGUGACAUUGGGAAAUUAUUUACUCUCCGUUAGCCUCGAUUUCUUCAUCUAUAAAAUAGAAGUGGGUAUGUCACAGGGCAAUGGGGCCUGGCUGAACUUCCCUGUGCCAGAGAUUCUGGGCAAAGCUGAAGCUGGUGGGAAAGUACUUUGGAUGUGGAGGAAGAGCUGGUUCUUCAGCAUGAGGGCCACCACCUAGUGGAUCUGAUGCCCACUAAGAUGUAAGUUUUAGUUCUGAGUCUGAGAUUUCAGUCUGUCUGGAUGGCAUGUGGACAAAAUACGCAGACCUAAUCUCCCCAAACCACCGCCCUUAAUCACAUUCUACAGGCAUGAGUUUGGCUGGCUCUGCCCUAGAAAAAAAAAAGUUUUUGCUGGGAGGUAUUUUCUAUCCAGGCUGGUUUUACAUUUCUUGACUUUUGUGUAUCUCAAAACUUUUGUAAUGACCCAUGUAUUUUGUAGUAGUGGAGUGUGGGCUUUUAGUGUGUUCAUCACCUGAGUAAUAUACAUUUUAUCCCUUAAGUAAUUUUUCAGCCCUCACCCUAUCCCAUCGUCCCGAGAUUUUUUAAAGGAACUUUCUCAACUUCAUUCUAUUUGGUCAAGAGGUCUCCAUGAUGCUGGAUAAGGUAUUAACAGUCUUGAAAUAGAAAUCCUUCCUCAGAAGUCAAUCAUAUUCAAAAGAGAUUUGGCUGGGGCAGUAGCUCAUGCCUGUAAUCCCAGUGCUUUGGGAGGCCAAGGCAGGAGGAUUGCUUGAGACUAGGAAUUCAAGGCUGUAGUGAGCUAUGAAUGUGUCACUGCACUCCAGCCUAUAGACAGAAUAAGACCCCAUCUCUAAAAAAUUAAAUUUACCCUAUGGUUGUAAAAGGAAAAUUGUAAAUUAGUGUGGUAGGAUAAGGGUGUGUACCAAAACCCAUGCAAUCUUCUUCUUCCAUUUCCUUUUGUCCUGGGAUUCUCAUUUGGGUAUUUGGGUGAAUUUUGUAUUUUUUAAAUCUACCAAAAUUAGUAUAUUCCUAACUUUGUUAUGUAAACAUGUAAAAAAAAAAAAAAAGACUAGAAGUACAUGGAAAUAUAAAAGUGAUUACCUGUAGGUUAUAAAAUUAUGAACAUGCAUGAUUUCUAUUUCCUUCCUUGUGCCUUUCUGCCUCUUCUCAAUUAUAUAUAAUAAGAAUAAACUAUUUUUUUAAAUACACCAA